UGACAAGAGACCUAAGGCUCACUUUUGGCUUACAAGACCAAUGCUCUCUUUAAGCUAUUAUCAC
rnacentral:tRNA from 1 species